rnacentral:rRNA from 1 species
UACAGAGGGUGCGAGCGUUGUCCGGAAUCACUGGGCGUAAAGGGCGCGUAGGCGGCCUGAUAAGUAGGGGGUGAAAUCUUGCGGCUCAACUGCAAGGCUGCCUCUUAAACUGUCAGGCUAGAGCACGGUAGAGGCAGAUGGAAUUCCCGGUGUAGCGGUGGAAUGCGUAGAGAUCGGGAAGAACAUCGGUGGCGAAGGCGGUCUGCUGGGCCGUUGCUGACGCUGAGGCGCGACAGCGUGGGGAGCAAACAGG